rnacentral:siRNA from 1 species
UGAAUGUGAUAUAGCCAACUCCCU